GACGAACGCUGGCGGCGUGCUUAACACAUGCAAGUCGAACGGUGAAGGUGGAGCUUGCUCCGCCGGAUCAGUGGCGAACGGGUGAGUAACACGUGGGCAACCUGCCCCUCACUUCGGGAUAACUCCGGGAAACCGGGGCUAAUACCGGAUACGACCUCCUUGGGCAUCCUUGGAGGUGGAAAGUUUUUCGGUGAGGGAUGGGCCCGCGGCCUAUCAGCUUGUUGGUGAGGUAGUGGCUCACCAAGGCGAGGACGGGUAGCCGGCCUGAGAGGGCGACCGGCCACACUGGGACUGAGACACGGCCCAGACUCCUACGGAGGCAGCAGUGGGGAAUAUUGCGCAAUGGGCGAAAGCCUGACGCAGCAACGCCGCGUGCGGGAUGAAGGCCUUCGGGUUGUAAACCGCUUUCAGCAGGGAAGAAGCCGCAAGGUGACGGUACCUGCAGAAGAAGCACCGGCUAACUACGUGCCAGCAGCCGCCGUAA
rnacentral:rRNA from 1 species